AACCAGCACCUCAAGUGGUCAGGAUGAUUAUUGGGCCUAAAGCAUCCGUAGCCUGUUCUAUAAGUUUUCGGUUAAAUCCAUAUGCUCAACAUAUGGGCCGCCGGAAAUACUGUAGAACUAGGGAGUGGGAGAGGUAGACGGUACUCGAUAGGAAGAGGUAAAAUUCUUUGAUCUAUUGAUGACCACCUGUGGCGAAGGCGGUCUACCAGACCAACACUGACACUGAGGUGCGAAAGCGUGGGGAGCAAACAGG
rnacentral:rRNA from 1 species